rnacentral:rRNA from 1 species
CCCUUAGAUGUUCUGGGCCGCACGCGCGCUACACUGAUGCAUUCAACGAGUCUAAAACCUGCUCUGAUAGGGGUGGGUAAUCUUUUGAAUGUGCAUCGUGAUUGGGAUAGAUGAUUGCAAUUUUCCAUCUUCAACGAGGAAUGCCUAGUAAACGCAAGUCAUCAGCUUGCAUUGAUUACGUCCCUGCCCUUUGUACACACCGCCCGUCGCUCCUACCGAUUGAAUGAUCCGAUGAAUAUCAUGGAUUGAGGAUGCAAGUAGGUUCGCCUAUCUUCAUCUUCGAGAAGUGAAGUAAAUCUUAUCAUUUAGAGGAAGGAGAAGUCGUAACA